rnacentral:rRNA from 1 species
AGCGAACGCUGGCGGCAGGCUUAACACAUGCAAGUCGAGCGGACCUUUCGGGGUCAGCGGCGGACGGGUGAGUAACGCGUGGGAACGUGCCUUCCGGUUCGGAAUAACCCUGGGAAACUAGGGCUAAUACCGGAUACGCCCUUAUGGGGAAAGGUUUACUGCCGGAAGAUCGGCCCGCGUCUGAUUAGCUAGUUGGGGGGGUAACGGCCUACCAAGGCGACGAUAAGUAGCUGGGCUGAGAGGAUGAUCAGCCACACUGGGACUGAGACACGGCCCAGAAUCCUACGGGAGGCAGCAGUGGGGAAUAUUGGACAAUGGGCGCAAGCCUGAUCCAGCCAUGCCGCGUGAGUGAUGAAGGCCUUAGGGUUGUAAAGCUCUUUUAUCCGGGACGAUAAUGACGGUACCGGAGGAAUAAGCCCCGGCUAACUUCGUG